UACAGAGGUCCCAAGCGUUGUUCGGAUUCACUGGGCGUAAAGGGUGCGUAGGCGGUCGGGUAAGUCUGAUGUGAAAUCUCACAGCUUAACUGUGAAACUGCAUUGGAUACUAUCCGGCUAGAGGAAUGGAGGGGAGACUGGAAUACUUGGUGUAGCAGUGAAAUGCGUAGAUAUCAAGUGGAACACCAGUGGCGAAGGCGAGUCUCUGGACAUUUCCUGACGCUGAGGCACGAAAGCCAGGGAGCAAACGGG
rnacentral:rRNA from 1 species